rnacentral:rRNA from 1 species
CCUACGGGGGGCAGCAGUGGGGAAUAUUGGACAAUGGGGGUAACCCUGAUCCAGCCAUGCCGCGUGUGUGAAGAAGGCCCUCGGGUUGUAAAGCACUUUCAGUGAGGAAGAACGCCUGGUGGUUAAUACCCAUCAGGAAAGACAUCACUCACAGAAGAAGCACCGGCUAACUCCGUGCCAGCAGCCGCGGUAAUACGGAGGGUGCGAGCGUUAAUCGGAAUUACUGGGCGUAAAGCGCGCGUAGGUGGCUUGAUAAGCCGGUUGUGAAAGCCCCGGGCUCAACCUGGGAACGGCAUCCGGAACUGUCAAGCUAGAGUGCAGGAGAGGAAGGUAGAAUUCCCGGUGUAGCGGUGAAAUGCGUAGAGAUCGGGAGGAAUACCAGUGGCGAAGGCGGCCUUCUGGACUGACACUGACACUGAGGUGCGAAAGCGUGGGUAGCAAACAGGAUUAGAUACCCGAGUAGUC